GGGCCCGUAGCUCAGCAUGGAAUCAGAGCGGCGGACCAAUUUGGGCCGACCCUGCGAAGCCGUAGGCCGUGGGUUCAAAUCCCACCGGGCCCG
rnacentral:tRNA from 1 species